rnacentral:misc_RNA from 1 species
UUGUAAGAAGCUUGAAGUAAUAUUUCAAAAACUUUCCGCUUGCGCUUUCGCUUCUAUCGUUAAAACCGAGGGGUGUGACAGAGGUCGCGUGAUGUCAAUCAAAACUUCUUCGUUUAAUUGGUUAGCACUUCCAAAACAAUCAUUUCCAAGAACCGUUCAAAGUUUGCCAAAGCGUUCGAUUAGAAAGGCGCUCAAGAUUUCUUUCUCAAAGCGUCUUUAGAUAAAAUUGAGAAUGGACAAAGCAAAGCUUUUGAAUCUUUGUAGAAUUUUCCAUCGUCAAACUGAUGGCGAGGGGAAAACGAUUCUUGGUUGUGGUUGUGUAGUAAAAUGUAGCAAUCGGUCUUUGAAGAUUGCUACUUCCAAAAAAAUACGAAAAAUGGAAGGUGGCGAAGUCUUCGCUACUUUUGAGGCUAUCCAAGAUAGAGAAAUCAAACUGCAAGUUGAUAUGGAAGAAGACGAACAAGAGAGUGGGAUCGCUUAUCUUUCAUUUGACGAAAACGUAUUUGAACACCUUCCAGAAGGCAUACCAAUGGGAGAUCUUGGUAGGAUUGAUAUAAUUACUUAUCGUGUUCCGGUGUUCGACAAAUUAGAGCAGCUGCAUGUAUCUACAAGUGAGAUCAAGCUCUACAAUGUUGUAGAAGAUCCGACCAGGUGCACUUUACAGAUCCAAACUGGAAAUAACAACAGGGUUAUAAGCAACUUACGCGAAAGUGACNAGUUUCAUUUGGUUGUUCGUGGUGCUCCGAUACUUGAUGAUAGGUUCGAGUUCUUUGGAAUUGUGGAUUUCUUGGAAGUCGACAAGGAGUCCUUGUUGGAACUUGUAAAGAGGACCCCAACAGAAGUCAUCCGCAGUCAGCCAACAGGGUAUGUGAACGCAGCACCACGAGUACCAGGCCCAGGAUCGCAAGUAGAAGCAGUUGAUACAGAGGUCAAUAUCAAGUGUAGCUGUGGAACGUUUGACUUUCGACGAUCUUGGCUGAGUAGUAAUCGGCAUUUUGAAUCCGAAAAUGCGCAUACAGGUUCAAAACUCAAAGCAUUGAAAGAUAUUGUCCAAAAUGUGGUGCUUCCUGUUGGUGCUUAUUUACUUAACAUUAUAUUUGGCUCGGUUACCUUUGUUGUAAGAGUUACGAACUUGACGGCCCUGGACGAGUUAUGGAAAAGGUACAAAGAAGGUAAAAUGAAACAAGAUUUUGCCGAGAUAUUCUUCAACAUCAGUGAGAUGAAAGAUCAAGCAAACGAUCAAUCUGCAGAAUUGAUCGUCGAAAUAAGUGAGAAUGAAUACAGGAAAGCUAAAGAUCAACUCACUAUUUCCCAAACGACAGUUGACACUGAAGGGACGGUACCAAUCCCAGCGUAUUUACUUCAAAACACAAUGGAUAGCACAAUCAUGAGUGACAUAAACUACAAAAUAUNAACUGAUGGAUUGCCAACUCCAGCAGCAGGCGGAUCUCAAGACAGCCAGCAAGAAACAACUGACGGUGGCCGAAACANAUUUUCCAUAGAUGAUCAUCUACAACUUAUUUGGGACGACCUUGGUUUUCGUGAUCGAUUUUCCAGCGUGUUGGACGUUAAGUAUACACGUGUUAAAUAUUGGCCUCAUCUCGCUGAACAGUUUGACAUUAAGCGGGCUAUCUACGAUGCGUUUUCCACGUCAGACAUCAACAGCCCUACUGAGAGACUACUCGAGUAUUUGGAAUGCACUGAUCCAGAUUACACUGUACAAGAUUUCGUUCAAGAUUGCAAGACGGCAGACGCUUAUGAGGUUUCCCGCAUUGUGGAAGACAGUGUCAAAGCUGGUAUUCUGGAUAACGAAGACCUAGUAAGCGAGAUAUGUGAUAAAGCACCAAGGGUUCUGGAUGAGGUCGUGCUGAAGCUAGACCGCGAUAGUAGACUAUGGAAGAACCUGGCAACGGAAAAAAAAGUCCGUAAAAAGAAGUAUUUGACUUUCGAGAGUGACAGAACCACCAACCCAGCUCGUUCGUUCUUUGAUGUUUUACGAACGCAGGGACCUGAAAUAACAAUAGGAGAUUUCAAAGAAAAAUCGNAAAAAACGGAAAAAAUCUCGAGCAUCUUGAAAAAAUCUGGUAUCGAAGAUAAACUGCUUCUCAAGGAUCUCUCAAAAGAAAGCCCAGGUGCUAAAAGUGAGAUAGAAUCCUUUCUCAACAACCUGAAAACAGAAGUACUAUGGAACCUGGCAACCCAAUAUCAAAAGGAAGGACUGAUGGAAGAUAUUGACGUUGAAACUGCAUUCAGACAAGAAGAAGACUGCCACAGCCCAACUAAAAAAGUGAUGGAUUACGUCCUCGCUAGUUCACCUAAGAAAUACACUAUCAAGGAUCUGAUAGUCAAACUGUGGAACAUAAAUCGCAAAGACUGUUUUGACGUUCUACAACCAUACCUAAAGGGAGGCAAGAACGACAUCGAUAAAAUAACGAAAGGACUCAAGAGGCUUCAGCCUGAAGAACGACUGAAGAAGCAGCCGUGUACUGGUGACGAAANCGUAUCCAGCACACCAGUCUCAGACAAGUCAGAAGAAUCACAAAACCAAUACGUCAUGGCUAUCAGCGCUAAAAAAUAAAUUCCGUUUCUGCGUGUCAUCCUUAUAUAGGGUUUAUAGGCCAUUUUUUAUUUCUUUUAUAUCUUCUUAAUUCAUGUUUAUUGCUUGUCCAUACAAUAGCACUAAUAGAUUUUAUGAAAGCAUUCUGAAAUAUGAUGUGCCUUCAAAUUUGAAUAUAAAUCGCCUCCGAUUAUACACACACAGGACGCCAUAGAAACCACACUGACUCUUUUUUUCUUAUUAUUAGAUAAGCUAUGAGAGACUGAUACCAUUGCUAAUAGAUAAGAUAAGCCUUCAUUUAAUGUUGAAUUNAUUAGUUGCCGGAUAAUUUGACUUUUUAUCAAANCGUAUCUUAUUGUAGUAUAUUUGCUAUAAAGGUCUUACGCACAGUAACUGCACCAAGCAUUAACGUCAUGUUUUCUUAAGUACAAUGCAUCACUGGACUCCCUGGUUAAAAAAAUGGCGCCUUUCGUGUAGAUAACAAACGCGCAUCAGCGAAGGAUCCAGGAUUUUAGAAGAAAGGGGGUUCCAAAAUGGCCGCCACUNGGUCGACUUCACAAAGGGGUAUUCCAAUUUCAUUAUAAUGGGCGUAAAGAACAUUUUUGGCAUUGAUGAGAUCUCACAAANGGGGUUCCAUGGAACCUACAGAACCAUCCCAGGAUCCGCUGCUGCGCAGAACGGAAUGGCGUAAAAACUUUAGGGCGAUUAUAUUGAUCAGUAUUUGCAAGUCAUGAUUUUAAUAUUUCUGCUGAAUUGUAGCUAAUUAAACUGUGUAAUCCACAAAAUCAAAUCAUGAUUCGUGGGUAAAGAACAAGCUCACGCGUUGACCCCUAGAGUCGAUUAAUGAUUUGAAUUUUCGAA